AUUGAACGCUGGCGGCAGGCCUAACACAUGCAAGUCGAGCGAGCGGCGGACGGGUGAGUAAUGUAUGGGGACUGCCCGAUAGAGGGGGAUAACUACUGGAAACGGUAUCUAAUACCGCAUACUAUCGGAUAACCCAUAUGGGAUUAGCUAGUAGGUGAGGUAAUGGCUCACCUAGGCGACGAUCCCUAGCUGUUCUGAGAGGAGGAUGAGCCACACUGUGACUGAGACACGGCCCAGACUCCUACGGAGGCAGCAGUGGGGAAUAUGUGACAAUGGGCGAAAGUCUGAUGCAGCAACGCCGCGUGUAUGAAGAAGUCCUUAGGGUUGUAAAGUACUUUCAGUCGGGAGGCGUUACCGACAGAAGAAGCACCGGCUAACUCCGUGCCAGCAGCCGCGGUAAUUC
rnacentral:rRNA from 1 species